rnacentral:RNase_P_RNA from 1 species
GCAGUAAAUCGCCUUAUCGCUCGCGUUCUAAACCAAGUUUAGUACUUGAGAGGAAAGUCCGAACACCAUAGUGCAUUAUAGUGGUUAACAGCCAUCCACCGUGAGGUGAGGAAAAGUGCAACAGAAAGAAUGUACAGGUAAUGCUGUAGUGAAAUCAGGUAAACUCUAUAAGGUGCAAUGUCAUGUAAACCAGCGUUAAGGGCUGCACGUCCGAUUGCUGGAGGGUAGACAGCUAGAGUUUAUUGGUAACAAUAAAUGUAGAUAAAUGAUAAGGGUACUGGUAUGAUUUGUCAGAGCCAGUAUACAGAAUUCGGCUUAUAGAUUUACUAAUUUU